rnacentral:snRNA from 1 species
AUCGCUUCUCGGCCUUUUGGCUAAGAUCGAGUGUAGUAUCUGUUCUUAUCAGUUUAAUAUCUGAUACGCCCCCGAUUCGGGGGCAACGUAUUAAACGCAUUUUUAGAACAGGGAGCUGAAUAAGGGGCUCGCUCCGUUCGCUCCACGCAUCGACCCGGUAUUGCAGCGCCUCCGGGAACGGUGCCCCCUUU